AUGAUGAUAGUAACUCGUGUGUUACUGGUACAUCAGCAGCAAGCAAACUUCUGCUGGAUAAGAAAAAGGAUAAACUAUCUACUUCUGCGUCAAGUCGUGAUCUCACUGUCAAGGACUACAAGGACAAAGAACAUUGCUGGUCCUAACAGACUAAGAAAUUCCCUUGUGGAAGAAUCUACAGAGAAGAAGAGAUCUGAUGUUCAUAUUGCUCCACCUAGCUCAUCUGACCGAUCAGCUCCUGCAGAUUCUCCUUCAUUUAUGACCAAAAAGUUACUCCGAACUCAGUCCUCUGUUAGUGCAUCUCAAGGAUUAUCUCCUAAAAAGUCAAGCCAGGGUUUAGGGAAUUCACAAGAUAAUUUAGCGCAACAACCUUCUGAGAAAGUUCCAAAUAAUGACAUGGAUCAUUCACCAGGAGGAAAAUUAAGCAGGCCUGUGAUUGGUGGUGACAAGCAUGAUAUGGUGGCUAGUUGCAGUACGAGUAGCAAAAAUAAAAUCAAGGCUGGAUCUUCAUCAACGGAACUGGAAACUGGCACCUGUUGCACGAGGAAUGGCAGUCAAGAACACACUGACAUUCUAUCUGAUGAUUUUGCUAAGAGGAAUGACAAUGUUCAACAAGACCAGAACCAAGGUUUACCAACGGAUAAAGCUAGUGAUAAAGAGUUGAAUACACAGAAUGAUGCUAUGAUAGAGUGCGGGAACUCAGAAAGCUUAAUAGAUGUUAAUGUUUGUGAUAUAUGUGGAGAUGUCGGUAGGGAAUAUCUUCUGGCUACAUGCAUUAGAUGCCUUGAGGGAGCGGAGCAUACUUAUUGCAUGCGAGUGAAAUUGGAUAAGGUUCCAGAUGGUGAAUGGUUAUGUGAAGAAUGCCAGCUUAAUGAAGAUCGAAUUAAAACAAGAGGCAACCGCGCUGCAUCAACAGUUGACAUUUCAAAUGGGAAGAACCAAGAUUCAGAAAGCAUGAGCAACCCUAAGACCUUGCAGACCGCUUUGACUAAUUUGGGCGCUCAACAAAUUGCUUCUGGUACACCGGUAACUGAUCACUUGUCUGGUAAUGUAAAGCUGCAUUCAGGCUCAACUGAUACUACAGAGGCACGACAAGUGAAGUGUGCCAGCCCAAAUGCCGGGAGGCUGGAUGCAAAGAGUAAAAACUUUGGGAGUAUGGCAAAUCGUAAGAGGCUUCAAAUUGUCACCUCUGACACGGAAACACGGCCACCCACUUGCGGCACACCAUCAGCCGGAAGAUUAGGCAAGAAGUACGAAAGUUCAGAAGAUUUAUCGAAUCAUAAGAAAUUGCGAAUUGCCACUGAUAUGGAAUUGCCAAUGUCGAGUGAAGGCCUGCUGAGUCCACCUAAAUCGUCCAAGAGGCAUGCAGAGAAUGCGUCAUCCUCUAAUCCAAGGCCGUUCAAGACAGAAAGCCCUAGGAAACAUGACAUUUUCUCUCAUCAAAACUCGUUUAAGAAAUCCAAUAAGGGAAAUCUUAAGCCACCUAAUAAUGCUCCAGUGAAGGGUGUUCAGGCAGUCAAAAGUUCCAUGACCUUAUCACGGUCAUAUUCAUUAGGAAGCCUGGCUAAUGCCAAAGCGCCAGUUCCUUCACCACGAGGUCCUUUAUCGAAACAAUUGUCUUUCAACAAUUCGAAGAGCGAACCAAAGGUCAAGCAGUUAGCAGAAGGUGUGGCAAGCAAGCUGAAGCCUAUAAAACAUUCCCCAAUAGAUGUUAGAGAAAAGGGGCCAAUGAGAAAGCUUAUGAAGUCAGAGUCAUUCAAGCGCGAGGGUUCAGUUAGUAAAGACUCCAGUUCAUUAAAACAGAAUAAAUCAUCUCUCUUGUCUCGAGAUGAAAAACCAAGAAUGUUGAAGCUGAUGAGCGAUAAGAGUUUCUUAGAAAGAAGGCCUUCUUUUAUUCUUCAGAAACCACCUUUAUCACCAAGGCCUGAUAGUUCUGUGAAGUCGGGAGAUAGAAAAGUCGACCAAGAUAAUCCAAGGCCUGGACCAAGCAUACUAAAAACUAGCAAAAAGCCAGGUAACAUCGAAAAGAAGCAGACCUCUGCUUUGUUUAACAGUGAAAAGCGGGGCAUUGCUAUUCACCAAACAUCAACAGGAGUGGUUUCUUCUAAAGAUGCUGAUACUGUAAAGACUUCUGAUCCACUGCUUCCAGUGGAAAAUGUUAACAAGGAUAAUGAUUGUGUGGGUGAAGCUUCACUCAUUCUUAGGAAAAAUGAUAAUAAAAUGUCAACUAAUCCUGAGGUGCUUUCCACACCAUUGGCCAUGACCUGUGAAACAGAUUUACAAAGUAUGGUGCCAAGAGCAAGUGCUUCAGAAGAUUUGACUCCUAAUGUGGGACAAUGCCAGCCUUUGGCCAUGACUUCUGAAUCACAAAUUAUGGUGUCAAGAGCAAGUUCUUCAGAAGAGUUGACUCCUAAUGUGGGACAAUGCCAGCCUUUGGCCAUGACUUCUGAAUCAGAUUUACCAAGUAUGGUUCCAAGAGAAAGUGCUUCAGAAGAUUUGACUCCUAAUGUGGGACAAUGCCAGCAAGAGGUUUUGGGAAACACUGAACAUAAGUCAAUUAAAAGUGCAGAGGAAGUUCAGGCUGCAGAAGACAUAUUGCCCGAGAGUCCACAUGAUCCCCUAAUGGCACAAAAACUCUAUGCCCCUGAAAACAAAUUGAGCGAGCCAAAUUUGAAGCAUCAAGAUUCUUUUGAUCAGUUGCCUACUCUUGGGAAUCUUUCCAGAACUUUAGUUAUUCCAGAGCAGACUUCCAUCUGGCAAGGUAUCUUUGAGGUUUCAAGAACUGGAAUCUCUUCCGAACUAUAUGAUGGGAUUCAGGCCCACUUGUCCACCUGUACCUCGUCCAAAGCACUUGAAGUAGUCAAACAAUUACCUCAGAGAAUUCGGCUCAUAGAAGUUCCACGUUGUUCAUCGUGGCCACAUCAAUUUAAGGAAGUACAGCCGAGUGAAGAUAGCAUUGCUCUUUUUUUCUUUGCUCAAGAUGUUGAAAGUUAUGAAAGAUACGGCAAACUCUUGGAAAAGUUGCUUGUUGAAGACUUGUGCCUCACAACAAAUAUUAAUGGCGUUGAACUUCUCAUUUUGUCAUCUGAUAAUUUGCCGGAAAAGAUUCAACGGUGGAAUGGCUUUCUUUACUUUUGGGGCGUCUUCUACGCGAGGAAAGCAAAUAGCUCAACAGAGCUUGUAGUGAAAAAUCCUUGUCCACUAGUGUCAACCACUGAACCUUUUGAUAAGCCUGUGUGUUCCCCUAAGGUUCCUCAAUCUUUGGGUAUAGAUUUGAACCAGUGCCCUGAUGAUGAAUUAUAUGAUUCACCCGUAUCACUUGGAUCAGAGACAGAGAAGUCAGGUGCAUCUGAAGAUCACAAGACUUUGAUGGGGUCGACAAAUGGGAAUGAAAAUCUGGAUGCAUGUGAAAUACAUCAUCAAGAAACUGCAGUCACCAGAGAGAUUGUAUUGGAAAGUGGUACUGCAGUUGUCUGUGAAACUUAUAUUCCCAUGGGCUCAGGAGUUCACAACAUGAAAUUGGAAUAUCCAAGUGAUACAACAGGUGGCUCAGGAACUGAAGGCAGAGACAGCAUGAAGGAUGAGGAGAGCUUUAGUCUGAAUGAAGCUCCAUGCUAUGUCGAACGACAUGUGGGUGCAAGCAGAUCAAUGCCUGACAAUAUAUUGGCCAAGAAGAAGGCGCUCACAUCGUUGACAGAAGUAUCGUUACAACAUCGAAGUGAAUCAAUCCUGAAGGCGGACUUCGUUUUGCAUGAUUCUGAGUCAAGCUACAAAAGGCAAAAGAUUGUUAAUGGAGAUGAGCAACUACCCAGCGAGCGCUUGUCGAAGAUACAUUCCCUGCCAGCUGGUUGGCGUACUCCAUUCGAUGACUCACGUUAUGCAUACAAGGGUCUCUCAGAUCUAGGUUCGACGACAAAAGCCAUCUCAGAUCAAGUUGUUCAUGUUCUUUCGUCUGAUGAUGAAGGCUCUCCAGAACAUACUACUAUGAAUAAGUCACCGUUGAAGGCAGAACAGGGAUCCUCCUCCCCUCUGUUGUCACUAUCCCUGUCUACAGCGGCAAAGACGCGCAAACUUGCCAGUUCGGACGCAGGAGAUGAUCGAUCGCUGUCUCUUUCUCUUGGCCUCCCUCUCCCUGGUGUUGCAAAAGGAAACCAGGCUCUGGAGAUAAAGCAGUUUCUGCCGGAGAAGCCUGGCAUAAAUACUUCUUUUCAUCUUUAG
rnacentral:rRNA from 1 species